rnacentral:rRNA from 1 species
AAUGAACGCUGGCGGCGUGCUUAACACAUGCAAGUCGAACGAGAAAGCCUUGGCUUGCCAGGGCGAGUAAAGUGGCGCACGGGUGAGUAACGCGUGGGUAAUCUACCCUUGAAUCGGGGAUAACCCUUCGAAAGGGGGGCUAAGACCGGAUGAUAUCGGAUUUACUUUGGUGGAUUCGAUCAAAUAUGGCCUCUACGUGUAAGCUAUAGUUUGGGGAUGAGCCCGCGUACCAUUAGCUAGUUGGUAGGGUAAAGGCCUACCAAGGCGACGAUCCGUAGCUGAUCUUAGAGGAUGAUCAGCCACACUGGGACUGAGACACGGCCCAGACUCCUACGGGUGGCUG